UAACAAAUGAAGAGCCCAGGGAAGAUGACUCCAGGCAGAGAGAAAAGCAAAUGUUAAGGUCCUGAGGGCGAGACUGAAGGCAGGACCUUCAGUCAGGAGGCUACUCCUGGCAUCCAAGCAAGUGAUGGUGGCAGAAUGGUGGAGGUGGAGGUCGAGAGAGGGCAGAUCGGAGAUCUAUUUUGGAGGAACAGGGGUUGCAGAGGAAGGGGCGAGCAUCUGGGUAUCGACACAGAACACCUUAGGUGAUUUGGAGCAGACAGACAUCAU